rnacentral:rRNA from 1 species
CCCUUGCCGCGGUAAUACGUAGGGUGCGAGCGUUAAUCGGAAUUACUGGGCGUAAAGCGUGCGCAGGCGGAUUGUUAAGCAAGACAUGAAAUCCCCGGGCUUAACCUGGGAAUGGCGUUUUGAACUGGCAGUCUAGAGUGCGUCAGAGGGGGGUGGAAUUCCACGUGUAGCAGUGAAAUGCGUAGAGAUGUGGAGGAACACCAAUGGCGAAGGCAGCCCCCUGGGAUGACACUGACGCUCAUGUACGAAAGCGUGGGUAGCAAACAGGAUUAGAUACCCUGGUAGUCCACGCCCUAAACGAUGUCAACUGGUUGUUGGGGGAGUGAAAUCCCUUAGUAACGAAGCUAACGCGUGAAGUUGACCGCCUGGGGAGUACGGUCGCAAGAUUAAAACUCAAAGGAAUUGACGGGGACCCGCACAAGCGGUGGAUGAUGUGGAUUAAUUCGAUGCAACGCGAAAAACCUUACCUACCCUUGACAUGUCCAGAACCCUGAAGAGAUUUGGGGGUGCCCGAAAGGGAAUUGGAACACAGGUGCUGCAUGGCUGUCGUCAGCUCGUGUCGUGAGAUGUUGGGUUAAGUCCCGCAACGAGCGCAACCCUUAUCAUUAGUUGCUACGCAAGGGCACUCUAAUGAGACUGCCGGUGACAAACCGGAGGAAGGUGGGGAUGACGUCAAGUCCUCAUGGCCCUUAUGGGUAGGGCUUCACACGUCAUACAAUGGUCGGUACAGAGGGUUGCCAAGCCGCGAGGUGGAGCCAAUCCCAGAAAGCCGAUCGUAGUCCGGAUUGUUCUCUGCAACUCGAGAGCAUGAAGUCGGAAUCGCUAGUAAUCGCGGAUCAGCAUGUCGCGGUGAAUACGUUCCCGGGUCUUGUACACACCGCCCGA